rnacentral:lncRNA from 1 species
CCUCAUGCACACAACUAGACGUUCACAUCUUCCAUCAACAAUUCUACAAAUAACUUUUCAAACUGUAGAAAAUAAAAUUUAAAACAUUUCAUACAUAUGUUUACUUAAUACAGUAAAACUUUUAUAAAUUAAUACUCGAUAAAUUAAUAAUCUCUAUAAAUUAAUAAAUUUGGUCCGUCCCAACUUGGGACGGUUUAAAAUUUGACACAAAUCAAUAAAAUAAUAAGAUAACAUUUUUUUUAGAAAAAAUAUAUGUAAAUACAUGAUCCCAUUAAAAUUAUAAAUUAAUAACUUGUAUAUACACAUAUCUCUUAUAUAUUAAAACACAAGUCACUUGGCCAACAAAAAUUUGACACAUGAAAAUUACUUUACAAUUCAAAGAAAAACAAAAAUGCAAAAAAAAAAUUAUCAAAUACAAAAGAAAUGUCGUUUAUCAUCUGAUUUCUAUUAUUUUCUUUUUCUUUACAAAAUUAAAAUCCACUACACCCUCUUUUUGAA